CCCUCCAUCUUCUCCCCAACCUUAGAUGGUUUAAUCUCCUCUUCUUCUCCCUCCAUUGAUAAGAUUGGAUCUUGAUGCAGGUGCAUGUUGGUCCAAGCAUGGAGAAGGUUGAGCUAUCCUCAGAUCUGAAGUUCUUGAGCAAAGUUCGUCCAAAACCUUGCAGUAAUUUCUGUUUCUUGCUGUUUCAGAUUCUGGUACGAUCUUGUAAAAUCCGCCAAAUCUCGUGUGCAGAUCCAAAUCGAGUGGUUCGAAGUUCUGCAGAUAGAUCAAGAUCUGGUCAGAUCUGACUUUGUCGAAUUAAAUCAGGAGCUUGGAACGAAUUUUUGAAUGAAACCAGUUGGGGGAUAUUUGGUUUAUACCAUGGUGAUAACCGAGAGAGGCAAUUGCUAAGUUGUGACGCACUCAUACCUCUACUAGAUGCGAACAAUUCCGGAGAAGAAGAAGAAGUGGUUCGGACAAGGAUUUUAUUUAUAUUGACGGGAUUCUUAUAUUGAUGAAGUUGAAGAAGUCCAGGGACAAAUAAGCCAAGGCAAGC